UUCUUGGCUUUUAUCAUGAAGGGCUGUUGA
rnacentral:piRNA from 1 species